CAUCUAAGCAAAUUCUUAAGGUCAUACUGUGGUAAUACGGUUAAACCUUAAAGAAAAAAUAUAUAAGGUCAUACUGUGGUAAUACGGUUAAACCUUGAAAAAAAAAAUUUAUAUGAUUGCUCAUACAAAAAAAUUUUGCAUCAUCAAGCUAAUUGCGAGUUGAAAAAGAUGAAUAAAGACGCUAACCGGUUUUCUUACCAUGUGUGUGGCAUAGAUAAAGGGUCUUAAUGUGACUGUCUAGAAUGAAAAAGGAUGAAACAAAGGAGAAGAUUUAGAUUUUAGUACAACGGCA
rnacentral:lncRNA from 1 species